CUUCUACUUCCUUCACUUGAUUGAAUGAAACCUUCAGCAAUCCACAAUUGGAUCAGUCGCUCCUUGCCAAUUGUAACACCUUGGGGAAAUAUUGAACAGUAUGCAAAACAUUGCUUCAGAUGAGAUGGUAGAUGAUUAUAGCUCAGUCUCAAGGCUGGUAAAACAGAAGAUUCAAAUUCUGGCAAUAUCUCCAUCCUUUAGUUGUACCCAUUCACUUUCUUCUCUUUUAAAUCGCAUCAAGCCAGCAAGAGUCUUAAUAGCGAGAGGCAAUCCAUUGCAUCUGGCAACAAGCCUC
rnacentral:misc_RNA from 1 species